UUCAGCUACGGCUUUUUCUCCUACCUUACCAUUUUUCUUAACAUAUUCAUCAUAAAAUGGUUUCAUAGCUUUUCUAAAUGGUACUAAGUCUGGAGUUGUCACUGUUACACCUUG
rnacentral:antisense_RNA from 1 species